UUAAGUUCAGCGGGUAUUCCUACCUGAUCCGAGGUCAACCUUGAUAUGGGGGUGUUUUACGGCAAGAGCCCACCGCACGACCGGAGCGAGAUACGUUACUGCGCUCGGUGUGGAGGCGAGCCCGCCACUGAAUUUCGGGGACUGCGGCAGCCGCAGGGCCCCAGCGCAAGCCCGGGGGCUUGAUGGUUGAAAUGACGCUC
rnacentral:misc_RNA from 2 species